rnacentral:rRNA from 1 species
AUUGAACGCUGGCGGCAUGCCUUACACAUGCAAGUCGAACGGCAGCACGGGAGCAAUCCUGGUGGCGAGUGGCGAACGGGUGAGUAAAGUAUCGGAACGUGCCCAGUCGUGGGGGAUAACGUAGCGAAAGUUACGCUAACACCGCAUGCGAUCUAUGGAUGAAAGCGGGGGAUCGCAAGACCUCGCGCGAUUGGAGCGGCCGAUAUCAGAUUAGGUAGUUGGUGGGGUAAAGGCUCACCAAGCCGACGAUCUGUAGCUGGUCUGAGAGGACGACCAGCCACACUGGGACUGAGACACGGCCCAGACUCCUACGGGAGGCAGCAGUGGAGAAUUUUGGACAAUGGGCGAAAGCCUGAUCCAGCCAUGCCGCGUGCAGGAUGAAGGCCUUCGGGUUGUAAACUGCUUUUGUACGGAACGAAAAGGUUUGGGCUAAUAAGCUGAGCUCAUGACGGUACCGUAAGAAUAAGCACCGGCUAACUACGUGCCAGCAGCCGCGGUAA